rnacentral:tRNA from 1 species
GGGGUUGUGGCUCAGCAGUAGAGCACUCGCCUAGCAUGUGUGAGGCCCUGGGUUCCAUCCUCAGCACCA